rnacentral:rRNA from 1 species
CAGUCGAACGGGACUAUACUGGAAGAAGUUUUCGGAUGGAUUUCGGUAUAGUUUAGUGGCGGACGGGUGAGUAACACGUGAGCAACCUGCCUUCGAGAGGGGAAUAACGGCUGGAAACGGUCGCUAAUACCGCAUAACAUACCGGGAGGACAUCCUGCUGGUAUCAAAGAUUUUAUCGCUCGAAGAUGGGCUCGCGUCCGAUUAGGUAGUUGGUGAGGUAACGGCUCACCAAGCCGACGAUCGGUAGCCGGACUGAGAGGUUGAACGGCCACAUUGGGACUGAGACACGGCCCAGACUCCUACGGGAGGCAGCAGUGGGGGAUAUUGCACAAUGGGGGAAACCCUGAUGCAGCGACGCCGCGUGUGGGAAGACGGUCCUCUGGAUUGUAAACCACUGUCCCCAGGGACGAAGAUGACGGUACCUGGGGAGGAAGCUCCGGCUAACUACGUGCCAGCAGCCGCGGUAAUACGUAGGGAGCGAGCGUUGUCCGGAAUUACUGGGUGUAAAGGGAGCGUAGGCGGGGAUGCAAGUUGGGUGUCAAAACUACCGGCUCAACUGGUAGUCGCACUCAAAACUGCAGCUCUUGAGUGAAGUAGAGGCAGGCGGAAUUCCUAGUGUAGCGGUGAAAUGCGUAGAUAUUAGGAGGAACACCAGUGGCGAAGGCGGCCUGCUGGGCUUUUACUGACGCUGAGGCUCGAAAGUGUGGGGAGCAAACAGGAUUAGAUACCCUGGUAGUCCACACCGUAAACGAUGAUUACUAGGUGUGGGGGGUCUGACCCCUUC